rnacentral:snRNA from 1 species
GAUUCUCCUUUUGUCCGCUGUCC